UAUCUCUGUAGAGUCUGCAUAUCAAUAAGCGGAGGAAAAGAAACUAACAAGGAUUCCCCUAGUAACGGCGAGUGAAGCGGGAAGAGCUCAAAUUUGAAAUCUUCAAGGUUUGACCUUGACGAAUUGUAGUUUAAAGAAGUGUUUUCGGUUAGAGGAGUGGUAAAAGUUCUUUGGAAUAGGACAUCAUAGAGGGUGAGAAUCCCGUAUUUGACCAUUCUUUCUAGCUUUGUGAUACACUUUCAAAGAGUCGGAUUGUUUGGGAAUGCAGUCCAAAAUGGGUGGUAAAUUUCAUCUAAAGCUAAAUAUUGGCGAGAGACCGAUAGCGAACAAGUACCGUGAGGGAAAGAUGAAGAGAACUUUGAAAAGAGAGUUAAACAGUACGUGAAAUUGUCAAAAGGGAAGCGUUUGACACCAGUGUUGUUUUUCCGAAAAUCAAUUAAAAAUGGAUUCAUGCUAAGUUGUAUUGACCUUAUCAGCUUGCAAUUUAGUUUUGGGUUUCUUUUUGAUGCACUUUUCGGUUAACAAGUCAACAUCAAUUUCUUUUGCCUGUAAAAAGGUAGGAGGAAGGUGGCUUUCAAUUUCGGCUGAAGUGUUUAUAGCCUUCUGUCUCUGCAGUCGGGGAGAUUGAGGUCUGCAGCGUAGAUCCUUCGGGGCUAGAUACAUUCGUGCUAAGUUAUAGCCUUUUAUAGACAACUUGUUGACUAUGAUUGGUCUUGUAAUUUACUCGCGAGUGCUAUUUUACCUACGCUUAGGAUGUUGAUCUACAGAGCGAGAGU
rnacentral:rRNA from 1 species